GACGAACGCUGGCGGCGUGCUUAACACAUGCAAGUCGAACGGAAAGGCCCCCUUGUGGGGUACUCGAGUGUCGAACGGGUCAGUAACACGUGAGUAACCUACCCUUGACUUUGGGCUAACUUCAGUAAACUGGGGCGAAUACCGGAUCGGAGCUCCUGCUGCAUGGUGGGGGUCGGAAAGUUUCGGCGGUUGGGGAUGGACUCGCGGCUUAUCAGCUUGUUGGUGGGGUAGUGGCUCACCAAGGCUUUGACGGGUAGCCGGCCUGAGAGGGUGACCGGCCACAUGGGGACUGAGAUACGGCGCAGACUCCUACGGGAGGCAGCAGUGGGGAAUAUUGCACAAUGGGCGGAAGCCUGAUGCAGCAACGCCGCGUGCGGGAUGACGGCCUUCGGGUUGUAAACCGCUUUCGCCUGUGACGAAGCGUGAGUGACGGUAAUGAGUAAAGAAGCACCGGCUAACUACGUG
rnacentral:rRNA from 1 species